GUUGACUCCCUCGACACUCUACCCACAGUCCCCACCCCCAGUAUUCCCAUUUUCCUUUGUUCAAAUCUCAAUUCUCAAAUUCUCAACCCUAGCGACUAACACCAGACAACUGGUUCCACAAUGGUUUAUUCUUCAUUCUCUACUCUCUACAGUGGUUUAAUUCUUGCCCAACAGCCCCACUUCCACUCUUCACUCACCAGCAGUGUAAAGAUUAAUCUUCAUUUUUUUCUUUCCUUCGUUUGCCUCUAAUCUGAUUGUCUCCACUUUUCAUGAUGCUGCAGUGAGGCUAAAAAGGAGUGGGAGUGGGGAGGGAAGACAAGAAAAGGAAACCCAACAAAUAAUUCCUCUUCCGCUCUCUUUUAUUUAUUUGUUAAUCUAUCAAUUCUUCCACCCGCUGGGGUAGCUCCUUCAACUUAUAGCUCACUGCAAUCAUGGCAUUUUUAGUGUGCAUUGAACCCAGAACUUAACUUUAUAAGAAAGGAAGUGCUAGUUUUAUUAGAUCUCUUGCAUCUGUGUUAUUCAAACUACCAAAUCAAAAGAAAAAAUCACUCCACUGUUUUCUGGUAGGCCAUUUGAUGAUAAUUUCUAUAUGAUUUUUUUUCUUCUGAAAACAGGAUUUUCUAAGUGUUUAUUUUGUUGUAUAUGGCCCUUUCUAUUUUUCUUGUUAGAAUUGAUCUAGAUGAAAUGCUAUGUACUUGUAGGUUGUUGCACCAGCUAUGUUGUACGUGUUAAAUCAGGAUAACUUAGACAGCUAAAAGCUUUAUGGAUCUCUGCUGAGAUGAAGUCGAAGGUGGUGCGGUAGGGAUCAGACCAUCGUCAGGACAAGGACGACCCACGGGUGGAGCAGGACGUCACACCAACAAGGUGCCUAGAAAACCCAAUACACGGGAACCUACUUUUGCAAGGAAUCAUGUAGUUGCAUUCUAAAUCACGAUGUAUUUUGUAUGAAUCAAUGUACUGAACGUAUAUCUAUUAUUAGAUCCUUUUUGUUUAAAUUUGUGAUGACUAUUAGUAAGAUAGGAAUGCAAACUCAUGUCUAUGUACGUAUAUUUUUAAUGUGAACUUCUAA